UCACUUUUGCCAUCAUAGUAAAAUCUGCUUUGUCAUUUAAUUUGUUUUGUUUCCAAUAGCUUGACUGCUGAUGAAUAUGGUUGUUUCUGUUGCUUUGUAGAGCUUUGAAGAGGCUGGUGAAGUUACAUUAUAACCGAUGUCUACUGCGAGUGUCAAUGACAGCAGUCAAAGUGGGUUAAGGUUUGUGAAUGUUAGAUGCAAAUGUCCUGAACCCAAAAGGGCAUUGGUGCGAAUUUCAGAGUCUAGUUCGCACCCAAAUAUGUUGUACUACUGUUGCCCUGAAGCACCAAGAGGUUGUCGAUACUUCUCAUGGUGUGAACCUAUAGCUGCACCAAGACUUUUGUCAUCCCCUGCAACUAAUUUAGAAGCAGUUGUUGGUGAAAGAAUCCAAAGUCAACAGAUGAAAGAAGAUAUUCGUGGCUUGAAGAAAAGAAUUAAGUAUUUAGAGAAAGCGUAUAGAACGAUGAAAAUUGUAAUUGGUGUGCUUGUGGUGGUGUGUUUAGUGCUAUGUGUUAAAAAAUGACUUUACAAGCAUUAAUAUGAAGUUGUGUCAAGUAUGUAAGAAUCUGAACUAAAUGAAAUCGUUCAUUCUCACUGUUCUUA